UACAGAGGUGACAAGCGUUGUCCGGAUUUACUGGGCGUAAAGAGCGCGCAGGCGGUCGUUCAAGUCGAGUGUGAAAGCCCCCGGCUCAACUGGGGAGGGUCACUCGAUACUGAUCGACUCGAAGGCAGGAGAGGGUAGUGGAAUUCCCGGUGUAGUGGUGAAAUGCGUAGAUAUCGGGAGGAACACCAGUGGCGAAGGCGGCUACCUGGCCUGUUCUUGACGCUGAGGCGCGAAAGCUAGGGGAGCAAACGGG
rnacentral:rRNA from 1 species